GGGCACGAAAUGUCUAAGUCAGUUGCCCAGGGACGGCUGCAGGACCGCCAGCUUUCAGAACUGAGUCUCCGCUCAGUCUCCCGGUACUGGAUUGGGAUAGGGAAGGGGGUUGCAUCCCGGUUUGGGCCUUGUGUCCUAAGCAUCGGCCUGGAGGAAACAGGCCGAGCGGCCUCGGAAAGGCGCGCGGUCGCCCGGAGGAAGGGACAGUGCUGUCACCUGGCCGCCUCCCCGACGACUUCGGAACUUGGUGCAGCCACACGCAGAGCACCCAGGGCUGAGAAUGAAUGCCAUUUCGACGUUGUCCCCUUUCCGUCUCCAGAACUGUGGCUGAGAUGGAAAGUGAGGCUGGAUCAACCGCAGAGACGAAGGGUGCGUCUGGGAAAUGUGUGCUUCCUUGAUAUCAUUCCACCCUGUCUGGCCGCUACCGUUUGAAGAUGACCGCCAUUGUGAGUAACUCUUACUAUCUUGUCACCUAACGAGCUCCCACCACCAGCAGCAGCCUGUAGGAGUAAACAGCCUCUGAAUUAUUUACUUUUAGGAACUUUUCACUGGGUGUGUCGUCACAACGUGGAACCCUACAAUAAAUAAAUUCAAUACUGUAAGCUGAUUCCA
rnacentral:lncRNA from 1 species